UACAGAGGUCUCAAGCGUUGUUCGGAUUCAUUGGGCGUAAAGGGUGCGUAGGCGGCUCGGUAAGUCGGGUGUGAAAUCUCGGAGCUUAACUCCGAAACUGCAUUCGAUACUGCCGUGCUUGAGUACUGGAGAGGAGACUGGAAUUUACGGUGUAGCGGUGAAAUGCGUAGAUAUCGUAAGGAAGACCAGUGGCGAAGGCGGGGCUCUGGACAGUUCCUGACGCUGAGGCACGAAGGUCAGGGGAGCAAACGGG
rnacentral:rRNA from 1 species